UACAGAGGUCCCGAGCGUUGUUCGGAUUCACUGGGCGUAAAGCGCACGUAGGCGGCUUGUUAAGUCAGGGGUGAAAUCCUGGAGCUCAACUCCAGAACUGCCUUUGAUACUGAAGAUCUUGAGUCCGGGAGAGGUGAGUGGAACUGCGAGUGUAGAGGUGAAAUUCGUAGAUAUUCGCAAGAACACCAGUGGCGAAGGCGGCUCACUGGCCCGGUACUGACGCUGAGGCACGAAAGCGUGGGGAGCAAACAGG
rnacentral:rRNA from 1 species